UAUCAGUGAACGGGAGAGACUGACGCGAAAGUGUAACAACUUGAGCGUUGGCGCCGAAGGAGCAACCGCCCCGGAAUCUCUCAGGCAAAAGAACCGUUCAUCAGGA
rnacentral:ncRNA from 2 species